GACGAACGCUGGCGGCGUGCUUAACACAUGCAAGUCGAACGGUGAAGCGCCUUCCUUUUUGGUGGGUGUGGAUGAGUGGCGAACGGGUGAGUAACACGUGAGUAACCUGCCCCCUUCUUCUGGAUAACCGCAUGAAAGUGUGGCUAAUACGGGAUAUUCUGGGUCUGUCGCAUGAUGGGUCUGGGAAAGAUAUUGUUUCGGUGGGGGAUGGGCUCGCGGCCUAUCAGCUUGUUGGUGGGGUGAUGGCCUACCAAGGCGGUGACGGGUAGCCGGCCUGAGAGGGUGGACGGUCACACUGGGACUGAGACACGGACCAGACUCCUACGGGAGGCAGCAGUGGGGAAUAUUGCACAAUGGGCGCAAGCAUGAUGCAGCGACGCCGCGUGAGGGAUGGAGGCCUUCGGGUUGUGAACCUCUUUCGCCAGUGAAGCAGGCCUGCCUCGUUUGUGGGUGGGUUGACGGUAGCUGGAUAAGAAGCGCCGGCUAACUACGUG
rnacentral:rRNA from 1 species